GGUGUUUUUGUUUUUUUUUUUUUAAUCCCAACAGAAUGUUAAGUCUGAAAAACCAGAGUUUUAACCAGCUGGACAAUGAACUGCUUCGAGUUACUCGGAAAGAACAGAAUGCAACGAUUACAGAAACAUAGAGCCCGAUCCACCGUCUUCUGAAAUCUGUGAGAACACUUCGGCUGAAAUCGUUCACAAAGAGCACUGGAGAGGCCACAACUCUGAUCCUGAGCCUGUGUCUGCUAGUCGCAGAGGUCUGCAGCGUGGUCACAGCAACUCCAGUUUUAGUUCUCAGCAGAAUGGUGCUUCGGUAUUAUCCAUGGAGUCAGUUCCUACAUGCCUUGGGUGAAACACAGCAAAUUUUGAAAAACGCCAAGUAAUACUACAUCAAACGUUUCCAAAGGAGAUGAAAAAGGCUGCCUGCGUCGGGGAUCGGGACCUGCUCAAGUAGGAGGAGGGAGGCCAGGCAGGUAACGACAGCGCCAGGGCUCUGCCGGCGCUGCGCGGACGAGGGACGUCUGCACAACCAGCACAAAUACUGUCAAGGAAGACCUGCGGCAAGUGG